GACGAACGCUGGCGGCGUGCCUAAUACAUGCAAGUCGAACGCAGUGGGGACGGGUGAGUAACACGUGGGUAACCUCCCAUCAGAGGGGAAAACACUUGGAAAUAGGUGCUAAACCGAUACUGCUGGAUGAACCCGCGGUGCAUUAGCUAGUUGGUGAGGUAACGGCUCACCAAGGCCACGAUGCGUAGCGGGCCUGAGAGGGGUGGGGGCCACACGGGUGCUGGGGCACGGCCCAGUCUCCUACGGGAGGCAGCAGUAAGGAGUCUUCGACAAUGGACGAAGGGCUGACCGAGCAAGGCCGCUUGAGUGGAGAGGGAUUUCGGAUCGUGAACCGCUGUUGUUAGAGAAGCGGUAUCUGGCCAGAAAGCCACGGCUAACUACGUGCCAGCAGCCGCGGUAAUAC
rnacentral:rRNA from 1 species